UUCUUAGAAGUUUCGGUAUUUUUUAGUAGAUUGACACAUAUAGACCAUGUUUUUCUAGUUUCAACAUAGGCUAGUGCCUUGGCAGUUGGCUGGUAGACUGUCUGAAUGCACUGGCACUUGUAUAUUACUAAACAGGACCUCUUUUGAUGCUCGUAUCUAGAGUGACUACAGAAGGAUCAUAGGUCUAUGGUUCACAAAGAAUGUUACCCAAUGAUUUAAUUCUUGUUCUAAUUUUAACAAAUUAUGGAAAGGUAAUUCAAUGCUGUCUAGAAUACUUAGUAAUUCCUUCUACAUGCCAUACUAUAUGCAAGACAUGCAUGAAACAAGAGGAGGAUCUCCCCAUAAAAUUCAUGAACUUUUCCCCCAAAUUUUUAAAUCUGUAUUAGAGCACAAAAGGUGACAGUCCUUGGAGUGCUUGAGCAAAGUAUGAUUCAGUCACACUUGAAGUCUAAAAAGAAACAAUUAUGAAAAAUAUUGGAGUGGAGCUACUGGAAUAUAUGCGUACUGCUGCUAGUGUUGGGUGUAUUGCUGAAAACGCUCUAGUAGAUUGCCAUAGAUUGCCAUUAUGAUUCUGGUCAGAAUAUUGAUGACUCUAAUUGUGAAUGUUUUUAUGUUAUUGGUGGCAUAUGUAAUUAAUGGAAUUAGUAAUUCUAAUGAAAAUAUGGUUACUUCAUAACUUCUUCAGGCUUCAUAUUACGUCAGGCGUCCUGCUAUACAUGAUAUUGUUAUUUUUCGAGCUCCUGCACAGCAACCUGAGUUCAUGGAGGAAGAGAUUUUCAUUAAAAGAAUAGUAGCGAGAGCAGGAGACUCAGUUGAGGUUCAUCACGGGUCACUUUACGUCAAUGGGAUUGCUCAGAAUGAAGAUUUUAUAGCAGAACGACCAACAUACCCAUUGAAUCUAAUCGUGCGCCUAGUUUUGUUAUCUUAUUUAUUGCAUACUUAUCCGACAUCUUUUCUGGCCAGCAUAACAUGUUCUUGAACACAAUUAUGGGGUAAAACUGCUGGGGUCUACAAUAAUAUAAUACUUGCACGUGUUUGGCCCACUUAUGAAAGGAAGUUUGGCCACACAAGAGGGGGCAUGUUGGAGAAUAUAAAUAAUAGAGUUGCCUCUCUUCUUAACAGACUGUGCCUAGGGGUCAUGUUUAUGUUUUGGGUGACAACCGUAAUAACAGCAAUGAUUCGCAUAGUUGGGGACCGCUUCCUGUAAAAAACAUUGUUGGAAGGUUUGUCAUGCGUUGUCACAAGCCUUCAGGCACCAGUCCACAUGAGGACAAAAGAUGAACAUGAGAUUGAAGGGGAUCCUUGGCUUAAUUUCAACCAUGACGGGAUUGGGUGACAUUUAUAUAUUAUGUGAGUACUUGCACCAUGUUUGGUCAGAGUAGGGUAAAACAUGUGAUAAAACAAAGAAGAUUGUUUCUGGCCAUAAAAUAGAGGGGAGAGAUAGUGCAAGAUAAUGAAUACCAAUGGGGGUUGACAUUUGUUAUCCCUUUUUUGGGGAUAUGGCGUCCGGUCGGAGACAAUAGCGUGCCCUUAAAAUGCAACCAGUCAUUGAGGGACAUUGGGGUGUCCACAAAAAAAAAAAAAAAA